UACUAAGAAGAAUAAUUAUAUUUAUUCCCUAAUAAGAACUUAAAUCUUAAGCACUGAUCUGCCAUCUUAGU
rnacentral:tRNA from 1 species